rnacentral:rRNA from 1 species
GAUGAACGCUGGCGGCGUGCCUAAUACAUGCAAGUCGAGCGAACAGACGAGGAGCUUGCUCCUCUGACGUUAGCGGCGGACGGGUGAGUAACACGUGGAUAACCUACCUAUAAGACUGGGAUAACUUCGGGAAACCGGAGCUAAUACCGGAUAAUAUAUUGAACCGCAUGGUUCAAUAGUGAAAGACGGUUUUGCUGUCACUUAUAGAUGGAUCCGCGCCGCAUUAGCUAGUUGGUAAGGUAACGGCUUACCAAGGCAACGAUGCGUAGCCGACCUGAGAGGGUGAUCGGCCACACUGGAACUGAGACACGGUCCAGACUCCUACGGGAGGCAGCAGUAGGGAAUCCUCCGCAAUGGGCGAAAGCUUGACGGAGCAACGCCGCGUGAGUGAUGAAGGUCUUCGGAUCGUAAAACUCUGUUAUUAGGGAAGAACAGAUGUGUAAGUAACUAUGCACGUCUUGACGGUACCUAAUCAGAAAGCCACGGCUAACUACGUG